UAUGGCCAGAUCAUGUUGAAACAUAGGCCCACGUAUCAUCACAGAAGUUAAGCAAAGUUAAGCCUGGUCAGUACUUAGAUGGGUGACUGCUUGGGAAUACCAGUUGCUGUAUG